AUUGAACGCUGGCGGCAGGCCUAACACAUGCAAGUCGAGCGGAUGAAGGGAGCUUGCUCCUGGAUUCAGCGGCGGACGGGUGAGUAAUGCCUAGGAAUCUGCCUGGUAGUGGGGGAUAACGUCCGGAAACGGGCGCUAAUACCGCAUACGUCCUGAGGGAGAAAGUGGGGGAUCUUCGGACCUCCCGCUAUCAGAUGAGCCUAGGUCGGAUUAGCUAGUUGGUGGGGUAAAGGCCUACCAAGGCGACGAUCCGUAACUGGUCUGAGAGGAUGAUCAGUCACACUGGAACUGAGACACGGUCCAGACUCCUACGGGAGGCAGCAGUGGGGAAUAUUGGACAAUGGGCGAAAGCCCGAUCCAGCCAUGCCGCGUGUGUGAAGAAGGUCUUCGGAUUGUAAAGCACUUUAAGUUGGGAGGAAGGGCAGUAAGUUAAUACCUUGCUGUUUUGACGUUACCAACAGAAUAAGCACCGGCUAACUUCGUG
rnacentral:rRNA from 1 species